GACGAACGCUGGCGGCGUGCUUAACACAUGCAAGUCGAACGAGUGGCGAACGGGUGAGUAACACGUGGGUGCUCUGCCUUGCACUUCGGCCUCCGCUUGGGAAACUGGGUCUACUACCGGAGAGUGCAAGAUGAGCUCGGGGCCUAUUAGCUUGUUGGUUGGGUAAUGGCUACCAAAGCGCGACGGGUAGCCGGCCUGAGAGGGGUGACGGCCACAUUGGGACUAAGAUACUGCUCAGACUGCUACGGUAGGAAGUAGUCGGGAAGAUUGUACAAUGGGCGGAAGCCUGAUGCAGGGACGCUGGGUGGGGGAUGAAGGCCAUCGGGGUGUAAACUCCAUUCGACAGGGACGCGUUACCUGUAUAAUAAGCACCGGCUAACUACGUGCCAGCAGCCGCGGUAAUUC
rnacentral:rRNA from 1 species